GCGGUGCGGCGGUGCGGCGCUGUGGUUUGUGGCACUCGGAUGCAACGUGUUCGUGGCAUGUGCAGUGUUUGGCAGCCAGUGGUCGUCUCUGUGAAUCUUAGCUAGUCGAUCGUAUGUCCUGUGUGUCGGGCAUUAUUGUUAUUAUCAUUAUUAAUACGUGUUGGUGUGGGCCUUUGUGGAAGGGGUAGUGUGAAGUGUUUGGGCGGUGUGACACUCAACAGUGCCAAGUGUCGCCGCGCCCUGCCUUGCCCUCUCACUCAACCCAGGAUGCUGCUUGAGCCAUUAUGCUGAGUCAACAAAGCACACCAACCGCCAACAUGAACGCCCUGGGGACUGUGUACGCGACCAAACGCCGCCGACGCAACGGGAAAAGUAUAAAGCCACAGCCCAAAGACGGACAGACGAAAAGCAAUCCUUCGAAACGGCACAGAGAGCGGCUAAACGCUGAACUCGACACCCUAGCCAGCCUCUUGCCUUUCGAACAAAAUAUACUGUCAAAGCUCGACAGACUAUCCAUCCUUCGCCUCUCCGUGUCGUAUCUGCGGACGAAGAGCUACUUUCAAAUCAUGACGCAGGGCGGCGGCGAGAAGCAGGAGGGCGACCACCACCCCGCGAGACACAGAGACCUCAUUACCUACGAUCACCACGUCCUCGAUGGGGAGAUGUUCCUACAGGCAUUAAAUGGUUUCUUAGUUAUACUAGACUGUGAAGGAGAAGUAUUUUUCGCAACACACAACAUUGAAAGUUAUUUAGGAUUUCAUCAGAGCGACAUCGUCCACCAGAGUGUGUACGAGCUAGUCCACUCUGAGGACAGAGAGGAGCUCCAGCGGCAGCUCAUGUGGAACUCUCAUCUCCUGCCCGACCAAGCCCAACUCACCCUGCAGGAGGCGCUGCAGGCAGACCAGACGCCCCUCGAGAGGAACUUCACCGUUAGAUUCAGAUGCCUUUUAGAUAACACUUCAGGGUUUUUAAGGCUGGACGUGCGAGGGCGAAUCAAGGUGCUCCACGGGCAGAACCGCAAGACCGAGGACCCCCCCCUGGCUCUCUUCGCCGUCUGCACGCCCUUCGGCCCGCCCUCGCUCCUCGAACUCCCGCAGAAGGAAGUGAUGUACAAGUCGAAACACAAACUAGAUCUUGCCCUCGUCUCGAUGGACCAGAAGGGGAAGAUGCUCCUCGGUUACAGUGACCUCGAACUAGCCAAUAAGGGCGGUUAUGACCUCGUUCACUACGAUGACCUCGCCUAUGUUGCCUCAGCGCAUCAGGAACUUCUGAAGACGGGUGCCUCGGGCAUGAUCGCCUACCGCCUCCAGACCCGCGACGGCGCCUGGCAGUGGCUCCAGACGUCCUCGCGCCUCGUUUACAAAAAUUCCAAACCCGAUUUUAUCAUUUGCACGCACAGACCCCUCAUGGAGGAGGAGGGACGCGAUCUGCUGGGCAAGCGGACGAUGGACUUCAAGGUGUCGUACCUGGACCCCGGCCUCACGCAGUCCUACCUCUGCGACUCCGAGCUGCCGCAACUCUAUGCCUCCCGCAUGAGCCGCAAGUACAAGACGCAACUGCGUGACUUCCUGACCACGUGCCGCUCCAAGAGGAGCUACACCAACCUCACCGACACGGCCUACAACAACUACAACAACGUGUACGGCGCAUCGGCCUACUCGGCGGACAACGGCCUGUACAUGCAGCAGAACCUAGGCAACCUGCAGUCGCUGUACCCCGCCAGUUACCUGCCUGCCGACAACCUGUUCCACUACCGCCAACUGGGCACAUAUUACCCCGAGUACAUGACGCACGGCUACGUGAGCAACGGCUACGUGGAUCCGACGCGCUCGUGCCUCAGCUACGACACGACGGGAUUGGCAAAGACGGCGGCCGACCAGAAGCUGUACUGCGCCUCGCAGCUCGACGCCUCCAAGUACCAGUACAAGCCGGCCGACGCGUACUCGGCGGUCUACGGCGGCAACACGGUACUGCCGUCGCUCGAGCACAAGUACAGCGAUAUCCGCACGACGGACGCGCGGCGGGAUGACCCGUCGGCGCUGGCGUCGCUGGGGGCGCUGGCGGGCACGCCGGGCACCACGACGCCCGUGGCCGUCAGCUCCGUGUCCACCACGGCCACGGCAGCCAACAAGGACGAGCCCAAGGACGGCGACGCGUACCCCAACAGCACGCGCCAGACCGUGCUCAUGUGGGGCUCGGCCGCCCAUGAGUACGACAAGAAGUUCCCGGAGGCGCCGGCCACGUCGGCGGCGUCGCUGGAGCAGAGCCCUGGCCUCGGCAGCGUCGCCUGUAAGUGGGGCGCCUCCACGCCCGCGUCCACGCCCGGCGCGGGAAGCAGCGCCGGUGGCUCGCCCCACGGCGGCGGCGAGGGCGCGUCACCGCACGGUCGGCCGCCUCCCGCCGCCCACUCCGUCGCUACCUCUGCCGCCCACGUCGGCGCCGGCCCUGUGGCGCCCGCGGGUAAGGCUGCGUACGGCUACAGUGAGGGCGGCGAGGUAUGGCACCAUCAGUACUAUCCUUACCACCCGUAUCACACCUCGCACACCAUGGCGGAUCCCAGCUAUCCACAGAUCAGCAGGAACCCAAUCCUUUGCUGUCCAUCUCUGAGGUAACGAACACACUCCUCAACCACCAGGAUUAGACGAGGUGGUCAACUCUGAGCAGGGAUAAGGACGAGGAGGCCACCGCCGCGGCAGCCUCGGCCAUCCGGGGCAGUCCUGAAGUGACUCCGGAGUCGCCAAUCCUCGCCUAAUCCCUGAUCCCGAAUCCGACAAAAGCUCAUCACUUCGAGGGACGAAUCCGCGAAGAACUAGCUCAGCCAAGUUGUCAUUUCAAGUGAAGGAGGGAGUGUUUGCGUUGAAAGGAAAAGACGAAGAGACAUGUAAAGGGAGACGCAGAGCGAGAAGAUAAAGAAAAAGAGAGGGGGAAAAAGUGGAAAGAGAGAGGGGGAAAAAUUUGGAAAGAGACAGAGAUAGCGAAAGAAAGAGAUGAAAAGUGAAAAUGUACAAUAAAAGAGACAGUUUUCUUGCAGAGAAUAUUUCUUGGAUGGAAUAACUCGAUACUAUUCAAAAACCGAUAAAAAAAUCGCCUUCAGUUCAAGAUGAAAAAUAUUUGCAUAUAAGUUUUUUCCUAUUGUAUUUUCUCAUGGAAAUAUUUACGCGUGAAGUACUAUUGGCUUUCAAGUUUUAAAGUGACUAUUAAGAUAUUAAUUAUUAUUAGAAAGAUAAAAGCUGCUUUUUCAUUUGUUUACUCUUCAUUACCAGUUUCAUUGAUGUAGUUGUUAGCAAUUUUAUAUUAGAGUGAGAGAGAGAAAGAGAAAGAUGAUUAUCUAGAAAAUCAAACAAAAGUAAACUAAUGAUUGCUAAUUUAGUACUUAUAGGAAGUUUCAGAAAGAAUAAAAUCGUUGCUGACACCCAUUCUUAAUGUGCUAAGGUUAACAUCAUUUCAGGUUAAAACAAUGUUAUAAUGUUAUAGGUUUGUAGUUUUUUAACAACUACAAAGCACUAUAAUCGCCUUUAUUUUGAUAAACACUCAAGAGACAAAAUCAGUGAUGAUAACAUUAUUAAUCUUAAUAAUGAUAAUGGUAAUCAUAAUUAUGAUAAUUGUAAUAAUAGUAAUAAUGAUGCUUAUUACAGUCAUAAUGACUGUAAUAUCGAUUGAUGAUAAUCCAUAAUUGGAAAAAAGACCCUUUAGUAAAAAAAAAAAAAACAUAUAUUUACUAAUUUUAGCUUCUGUACAAGUUGGAUUUUUUAUUAUUAUGAUUAUUUAAACAUAAGGGCAGGUCAGCAGCAUUCAGGGAUUAAAAAAAACGGGAAAUUUUAUUCGAAAAGAGUGAUAUUUUAAAUGUCAAAAAUAUAUAUAUUAAAACACAUCUUUCCACAAAAGAUAAUAAUGUUAUGUAUUUUGGUACUGCAAAUAUUUUAUCGUAUCGGAGAGGAAAAAAAUACAGAAAAGAUGUCAUGUCAAUAUGGUUGCUUAGUGUUGAGGAAUCUAACGGAACAUCGACCUUCGAUGCCCAAUAUGUACAAAACAAUAACAUAAUUCAAGUAAAAGUUGUGUGUGAAGUUUUAUAAGAAUCAGAAAAAAGUGAAAAUUACUUCCUCGAACUAUUCUGAAUGUGCCAGCGGAUUAGGCAAUUUGUUUUUAUUUAUUAUUAUCGUUGUUGUUGUUUUAACAAGUUCAUUAUUAUCCCUUCACACCGCUCUUAAAAUAGCGAUUACGUACAGAUCUAGUCAACCCCUUAAGUAUAUUUUUAGUACAUGACUGGGAUUCAGAGGGAUAAUGUAACGGGAGAAUACGUUAGUGCCUAUAAUGUGAAAAAAACAAAAGAAAAUCUUGUUUUUUUCUUAUGAAAAUAAUGAAGGAAAAAAUGAUCAAUUUGAUUACCUUUAUUAUAACAGUUCUUAAUGGAGGAAGACUUUAACGAAUCCCAGUAUAAUUGAAACGAAGUGGAUUUUUUUUAGUACACAAGAGAGUUUGUGUAUUGAAUUCUAUAUAGCUGGCGGACGAACUCGAAAAAAAUAUAUAUACUUGAAAAAAAAAAACUUCAUUCUAGUGAGAAUUAUUAUAUACAUGAGGCUUCGUUGUAAGUCUUUUGAUAUUCGCAAAUGCCUUGGGUUUCGAAUACUAGUGAUACGCCAGCGGCCUCUCGGGAGUCGCGGCUUUGUAAUAGGUUUGUGAUUCCUUUCAGUGUUGACAGUGUUGGUCGUUAUUUUCCUUUUUCAUCUUUUAAGGAGAAACUGUUCCCUGCGUUAUUUUUUACUGU